UCUGGGAAAUGUAAGUGGAAACAUGAGAGACCGCUUUAUUUGGCAGUGCUUUAAAGGAGGAAAAAAAAAAAGGGGGGGUAGGACAAAUGGCAAAGCAGUGUUUGGACCGCAGGAUGAAUAAUCAAUAGGCAGAAAGCAAGAUAGAGGCUUCCUCAGCUUUUGGAUCGACAAUCGACAGCUGAGAGACUAUUUUUUGCUAUGGUUGACUAAAUAUGGUCAGGGAAGAGAGAGGCACAAGAGAGCCUGUUUGCCUAGGAGUGCAUGUUUCAAAUGCUUAGCUGCCUAUAAAGCUGUAAGAGUUUAGCCUGUGGCCACUGAGGGAAGACUCUAAAUUAGCCUCUGGAUUGACCAUGUGGAAGUCCUGACCUCGCGCACAGACUUGACCCCGGGAUAUGAAAAGGUGAGGUUCUCUGCUCACUGAUACUUCCCUCGGCUCAUGAAGAGAAGCGCUGAAUCAGCGAACUGAGUGAAAGAACAGUCAAGAUGAGAUGGCUGCAGCUGAUGUGACUCUCCAGGUCAUUACCUCUUCCAACUGCUGCAGGAUCCUGAGUUCACAGUUCAGGUAGAGAGCAGCUGCAGUGUAAAGAGGAAUGCUGCUCAAAUAUCAUGCCGGAUAACUCUUGAUCUCAAAACUGCACAAGUCUUUUAUUGUCAUUUACAUUAUUAAAGAUGACUGUCUUUACUGUUUCAAAUUCAGUGAUGAUUCUGCCAUUCCUAGGAAAUCAUAUCCUGCUUCUGAAGUAUGCUGUCUUUUAAAAACCAUUAGCUAUUUCAAGGUUUAACCAACCAAGAAACGUGGCAAUCAUAAAAUACAUGUAAGUGCUUAUUAUUAACUGGCCAGGAAAAGAAAAAUCAGAAGCGCACGGUGCCAUGCGAAUGCUGCACUGCGAAGCUGCUGUAGCACUGGACUGUCUGACUGCCACAUUCGGAUUCGCUCUGUGAGCCGCACUCGCUCUUUAUCACAGGCUGCAGAAAUUCUGCUUUCCUUGCCUUUUUUUUUUUCCCUUUUCCCAACUCUGAAAAUUCAUUGAUAUUAUCUCUUAAACUAACCUUUUAGUAUGUAGUAAUUAAAGGCUAAAAGGCUACCUACCGAUUAUAAUUUCUUUUCAUGC